GAUGAACGCUGGCGGCGUGCCUAAUACAUGCAAGUCGAGCGGACGGACGAGAAGCUUGCUUCUCUGAUGUUAGCGGCGGACGUGUGAGUAACACGUGUAUAACCUACCUAUAAUACUGGUAUAACUUCGGGACACCGGAGCUAAUACCGGAUAAUAUUUUGAACCGCAUGGUUCAAAAGUGAAAGACGGUCUUGCUGUCACUUAUAGCUGGAUCCGCGCUGCAUUAGCUAGUUGGUAAGGUAACGGCUUACCAAGGCGACGAUGCAUAGCCGACCUGAGAGAGUGAUCGGCGACACUGGAACUGAGACACCGUCCAGACUCCUACGGGAGGCAGCAGUAGGGAAUCUUCCGCAAUGGGCGGAAGCCUGACGGAGCAACGCGGCGUGAGUGAUGAAGGUCUUCGGAUCGUAAAACUCUGUUAUUAGGGAAGAACAGAUGUGUAAGGAACUGUGCACAUCUUGACGGUAACGAAUAAGAAAGCAACGGCUAACUACGUG
rnacentral:rRNA from 1 species